rnacentral:rRNA from 1 species
AACGAACGCUGGCGGCAUGCCUAACACAUGCAAGUCGAACGAGACCUUCGGGUCUAGUGGCGCACGGGUGCGUAACGCGUGGGAAUCUGCCCUUUGCUUCGGAAUAACAGUUAGAAAUGACUGCUAAUACCGGAUGAUGUCUUCGGACCAAAGAUUUAUCGGCAAAGGAUGAGCCCGCGUAGGAUUAGGUAGUUGGUGGGGUAAAGGCCUACCAAGCCGACGAUCCUUAGCUGGUCUGAGAGGAUGAUCAGCCACACUGGGACUGAGACACGGCCCAGACUCCUACGGGAGGCAGCAGUGGGGAAUAUUGGACAAUGGGCGAAAGCCUGAUCCAGCAAUGCCGCGUGAGUGAUGAAGGCCUUCGGGUCGGUAAAGGACUCUUUUACCUUACGUACGAUGAUGACGGUAGUAGGAG